rnacentral:rRNA from 1 species
AAAACUUAGCGGCGAACGGGUGAGUAACACGUAAAGAACCUGCCUCAUAGACUGGGACAACUAUUGGAAACGAUAGCUAAUACCGGAUAACAGCAUUAACUGCAUGGUUGAUGUUUAAAAGUUGGUUUUGCUAACACUAUGAGAUGGCUUUGCGGUGCAUUAGCUAGUUGGUGGGGUAAAGGCCUACCAAGGCGACGAUGCAUAGCCGACCUGAGAGGGUGAUCGGCCACACUGGGACUGAGACACGGCCCAGACUCCUACGGGAGGCAGCAGUAGGGAAUCUUCCGCAACGGGCGAAAGCCUGACGGAGCAACGCCGCGUGAGUGAAGAAGGAUUUCGGUUCGUAAAGCUCUGUUGUUAGGGAAGAAUGAUUGUGUAGUAACUAUACACAGUAGAGACGGUACCUAACCAGAAAGCCACGGCUAACUACGUGCCAGCAGCCGCGGUAAUACGUAGGUGGCAAGCGUUGUCCGGAAUUAUUGGGCGUAAAGCGCGCGCAGGUGGUUUAAUAAGUCUGAUGUGAAAGCCCACGGCUCAACCGUGGAGGGUCAUUGGAAACUGUUAAACUUGAGUGCAGGAGAGAAAAGUGGAAUUCCUAGUGUAGCGGUGAAAUGCGUAGAGAUUAGGAGGAACACCAGUGGCGAAGGCGGCUUUUUGGCCUGUAACUGACACUGAGGCGCGAAAGCGUGGGGAGCAAACAGGAUUAGAUANCCUGGUAGUCCACGCCGUAAACGAUGAGUGCUAGUGUUGGUCUCAUAAGAGAUCAGUGCUGCAGCUAACG